UACGUAGGUGGCAAGCGUUGUCCGGAAUUAUUGGGCGUAAAGGGCGCGUAGGCGGUGCGGUAAGUCUGCGGUGAAAUCUCCCGGCUCAACUGGGAGGCUGCCGUGGAAACUGCCGUGCUUGAGUGUGGGAGAGGUGAGUGGAAUUCCCGGUGUAGAGGUGAAAUUCGUAGAUAUCAGGAGGAACACCAGUGGCGAAGGCGGCUUCCUGGACACCAACUGACGCUGAGACGCGAAAGCGUGGGGAGCAAACAGG
rnacentral:rRNA from 1 species